rnacentral:rRNA from 1 species
GGUGCCCAGGCGCGAAAACUUUGCCAUACACGAAAGUGUGACAGGGUCAUCCCGAGUGCCGACCGCUGAGGUUGGCUUUUACCCAGUCUAGAAAGCUGGGGGAAUAAAGAGAGGGCAAGUCUGGUGUCAGCCGCCGCGGUAAUACCAGCUCUCCGAGUGGUGUGGACGUUUAUUGGGCCUAAAGCAUCCGUAGCUGGCUGAACAAGUCCCCUGUUAAACCCACCGAUUUAAUCGUUGGUCUGCGGGGGAUACUGCUCGGCUAGGGGACGAGAGAGGCAGACGGUAUUCCCGGGGUAGGGGUGAAAUCCUAUAAUCCCGAGAAGACCACCAGUGGCGAAGGCUGUCUGCUAGAACGCGCCCGACGGUGAGGGAUGAAAGCUGGGGGAGCGAACCGGAUUAGAUACCCGGGUAGUCCCAGCUGUAAACGAUGCAGACUAGGUGUUUGGACGGCCACGUGCCGUUCUAGUGCCGCAGGGAAGCUGUUAAGUCUGCCGCCUGGGGAGUACGAUCGCAAGAUUGAAACUUAAAGGAAUUGGCGGGGGAGCAC